UACGGAGGGUGCGAGCGUUGUCCGGAAUCACUGGGCGUAAAGGGCGCGUAGGCGGCCUGUUAAGUAGGGGGUGAAAUCCUGCGGCUUAACCGCAGGGCUGCCUUCUAAACUGUCAGGCUUGAGCACAGUAGAGGCAGGUGGAAUUCCCGGUGUAGCGGUGGAAUGCGUAGAGAUCGGGAAGAACAUCAGUGGCGAAGGCGGCCUGCUGGGCUGUUGCUGACGCUGAGGCGCGACAGCGUGGGGAGCAAACAGG
rnacentral:rRNA from 1 species